ensembl:lncRNA
GACCUCUCAGCUUUUAUUAAACAAGGAGCCCUUUCUUCAUAAGUGUUCCAUUGUGUGCUAUUUGUAGAGUGAAAGACUUCACAAUGUCUCCCAUCCAAAACUAUCACCCUGCGUUUAGAACAAUAGUAUGUAUAGCACAUAAUGUAUAAGAGCAAUAUAUAACGGUGCUUUGACAGGAUGAUAUGUAAGUCAGAGGGGUUCGGAGUUCUAAUUAAAUCAAAUGUUUGAUGUUUUUCUUUUCUCUUUCCACAUGUUCAGGGUUGUUCCAGUGUGAGCAUACCAAAUCGAAUGAAUUAAUGGCCUUGCAGCUGGCGGUACCACUCUGGCUGAUACCCUCUCCGUGUUUAGAAAUGCGGCAAUAGACAUCUACAGAAUUUCUCCAACCCCUUGGGGGAGCCCGGAAAAACGUAUGGUCUUUUUUUCUCAGCAGAAAUAGCAAAAAGUGGGUGUUGUGUGUGAACAAGGGAGUUCAGCAAAGAAGAUGAGGUGAGACCUAGUGCUAACUAAAACUCAUUAUUUUCUAAGUAUAGUGCUGCAUUCGGCUUAAUUGAAGCAAAACAUUAUUACAUUUUUCAUCUAGCUUAUGUGUCAUUCAGGUAUUCUCUCACCAUUUCCGUUUCAACAACAUAUUAGUGCCGGAUGAAGUAUACAAAUCAGGUAAAGUAUUUGUAUUUUUAAAACUCAGUUAUGUUUCUUAAUAUGGCAGGAUGUCCUAAACACAUAGAAUACAGCUUUUAUAGGACUACUGUAGGUUUAAGCUCAAUUUAAGUUCGACAUUAGUUUGGUAAUUUACUUUUCGGAUCAGUAAAAUCCUCUGCGUCCGUGAGCUCUGAGCAUCUUAUUAGCCAGCCUGGUCUCAUUGUUUAUACGUAGGUAUUAAUACGUAACAUUUACAAGCACAAAACGUACAUUUUUGUAUGUUUUUAUUGAUGCUAAAACAUACAAUUUAGUACAAUUUUGUACAAAUAGUUACUUAUUUUUAUCUAAAAAACGUAAACUAUUUACGUAUUGUUUAUAUCAUUAAGAUAUUCGUAUCAAUGCAUUUUUAUAAUUUUAUCAAUCAGUGAUUUAAAUUUUUAGACCUCUUAACUUGCCC